CUAAUGUGUCUUGGCUAAGGUGUCUUGGCUAAGGUGUCUUGGCUUAUGUGUCUUCGCUAAGGUGUCUUGGCUAAGGUGUCUUGGCUAAUGUGUCUUGGCUAAGGUGUCUUGGCUAAUGUGUCUUGGCUGAGGUGUCUUGGCUAAGGUGUCUUGGCUAAGGUGUCUUGGCUAAUGUGUCUUGGCUAAUGUGUCUUGGCUAAGGUGUCUUGGCUAAGGUGUCUUGGCUAAGGUGUCUCGGCUAAUGUGUCUAGGCUAAGGUGUCUUGGCUAAGGUGUCUUGGCUAAUGUGUCUUGGCUAAUGUGUCUUGGCUAAUGUGUCUUGGCUAAUGUGUCUCGGCUCAUGUGUCUUGGCUAAGGUGUCUUGGCUAAGGUGUCUUGGCUAAGGUGUCUUGGCUAAGGUGUCUUGGCUAAGGUGUCUUGGCUAAGGUGUCUUGGCUAAGGUGUCUUGGCUAAGGUGUCUUGGCUAAUGUGUCUUGGCUUAGGUGUCUUGGCUAAUGUGUCUUGGCUAAUGUGUCUCUGCUAAGGUGUCUUGGCUAAUGUGUCUUGGCUAAGGUGUCCUGGCUAAUGUGUCUUGGCUAAUGUGUCUUGGCUAAUGUGUCUUGGCUAAGGUGUCUUGGCUAAUGUGUCUUGGCU